CCAAACAAUGGUUCAUCUUUACAGUCCUUCAGAUGAACUCCUUUAGGAGUGGACUCAAUCAAGAGAUGUCGAACAAACUCAGAUGGAUCUAUAUGCUCUAAAAUAAUGGAAAGUAUACAGUAUUAACAUAAUCGUCGCGAGUGGGUUUCGCCAAGGACAAAAGCCAACAGUUAUUAGAGAGGCAAAACAAUUAAUAAUUAUUUAUUAGACGAAGUCGAGCGUGAUAUUGAGAAUUAUGAAUGCCGAGGUUGUGUUAUCUAACACAAACUGAGGUCUUGAUAAUUCUC